AAAAUGGGGUGUCUACAACAACCUGUCCAAUACUCUUGUAAAAAAUGCUACCAAAAAAAAUAUGGUCUUCAUCCUGUAUCUCUUGCAAUUGGUAUGAUAACAAUCUCUCUCCUAUGCACUCACGAUUGCUCACCUCCUUGUAUUUCGAUCAAUUCUCAAAGAUUUUACGAAGGCCUUGGCCUAAAACUUGAUAUUCUAAAACCCAUGUACCUUGUCACAGCCAUAGCAAUCUCAUUGUUGGGAAAGUACUCCCUCACAUCUAUAUGUGCCAAUUAGUGCUAGUAAAAUUGCCUUUUUUCUAUGACUUGUGUGCAUGAAAUUUCAAAGCUCUACCUGAAACGUGAAAUUAUUAAUCAAACAUCAAAAUUGAUUUUUAUUGCAUGUUUUGACUGAUAGACGGAUUAAGAUAGGAGUGUCUUUUAUUGCUCAAUAAAAUCUUCAUGUAUGCAAUUUUACCAUUGGUUCAAUGGUAAAACCUUGGCCCAAUAACCUUGAGGUUACAGGUUCAAGUCCCAAUCUUUUCCCUCCCAAAUACAUAUUAAUGUCUACUAAUUGGGCGUUGUUUUUUUUUAAAUUUUUUUUUAUUAUAUCAAUUGAACUAAGAAGCACAAUUUAAGUAAAAUACAACUAUUAAAAGUAUCAAUGAAUGACAUUCCAUAUUGGAAACUGACUUAUUAUCAGAGUUGUAUGCAUUACUGCUUCUGAGCUACUGAUUUUAGCUUUAGGUAUUGCAAGGAGAACCUGAAACUUGAAAUCAGCCUAAAUUAUCAAUUUUGUAAGUAUUAGUGCACUAAAUCAGCAUCCCCAUCAGAAUUACUGUGAACUUGAAAUCAAAACUCAAGGUGAAUCUUUUUUUGGUUGUUUGGUUAUCUUCAAUUGAUAAAAAUUGAUAUACUUGAAUCAUUUUUUUUUUUAUAAAAACAACUAUUAUUAUAACUAAGCUAUUCUCAGAACAUGCAAGCAGAAGAUGAAUAUUCCAUAAAUACCUUUGCUCCAAAAUUUAGGGUCGAGUGGUUGAUUUGCAGCUUGUUAUUUGGUUAAAUCUGCUAUCUCACUCUCACACACACUUGUUUUCUUGGAUGUAUGAGGUUACUAGUAUACUGGUGGUUUUCUUCCCUAUAUAUGAAGUAUCCACUCAUAUGGCAGAAUGAUACAAGUGAGUGAAGAUGCAUCAAGGAAAUCUGAACUGUGGAAUUCUCGAUUUGGUUUAGCUUCAAGCCGUUUAUGCAUACAAUCGACAUCACUUGUGGUUCCAUUCAGGUUUCAUUCCUUUUUUUUAUUUUAUAUUUUUUUAUUCUCUUUUGUUUUUUUGCUUUUGCUUUCCCUCUGUUUGUGUAUCUGAAAAAAUUGGAGGAAGAGGCAUGCAAAAUUAUAUGUUAGGCAUGAUUGAAUAGAAAUAAUGAUGAGAUUGAAUAAGAUUUGUAUUCAGAAAUUAAUUCUUAGCAAUCUAUGUUUUCUAUA